UUAUGUAGUCCACCUUGCCUGACCAAAGCUUUGACCAGGCGUACGCUUUUUCUUAUGUGUUGAAUACACCUCAAGGGUCAUACAUGAAUAAUGACCAGCACUGGUUGGGGGAGGAGGAAAUGGACCGUAACCAACAACCAUACUACCGACGGAGGCCGCCCCAAUGGUACACCCCCCGAGACGAUAUAACUUUUGGUUCCCACCAGUUUUGAUAAUUGUAAAUUUCAUAUGUAAUAUGAAUUUGUACCACUACAAUUUUUUAUUUGUUGAAUAAAUUUAUACUUCCAA
rnacentral:lncRNA from 1 species